CAGCCGCCACGGUAAUACGUAUGUCACGAGCGUUAUCCGGAUUUAUUGGGCGUAAAGCGCGUCUAGGUGGUUAUAUAAGUCUGAUGUGAAAAUGCAGGGCUCAACUCUGUAUUGUGUUGGAAACUGUAUAACUAGAGUACUGGAGAGGUAAGCGGAACUACAAGUGUAGAGGUGAAAUUCGUAGAUAUUUGUAGGAAUGCCGAUGGGGAAGCCAGCUUACUGGACAGAUACUGACGCUGAAGCGCGAAAGCGUGGGUAGCAAACAGGAUUAGAUACCCCCGUAGUCCCUGUCUCUUAUACC
rnacentral:rRNA from 1 species